UGGGGAAUAUUGGACAAUGGGCGCAAGCCUGAUCCAGCCAUGCCGCGUGUGUGAUGAAGGCCUUAGGGUUGUAAAGCACUUUUGCCGGGGAAGAUAAUGACGGUACCCGGAGAAUAAGCUCCGGCUAACUUCGUGCCAGCAGCCGCGGUAAUACGAAGGGAGCUAGCGUUGUUCGGAAUCACUGGGCGUAAAGCGCGCGUAGGCGGCUUUUCAAGUCAGAGGUGAAAGCCUGGAGCUCAACUCCAGAACUGCCUUUGAAACUGUUAAGCUUGAGUCUUGGAGAGGGUGGCGGAAUUCCUAAUGUAGCGGUGAAAUGCGUAGAUAUUAGGAGGAACACCGAUGGCGAAGGCAGCCACCUGGACAAGUACUGACGCUGAGGCGCGAAAGCGUGGGGAUCAAA
rnacentral:rRNA from 1 species